rnacentral:lncRNA from 1 species
UGAACCCUAAGCCGCCGACCCCUCCCCCUUGAAUCUAAAAAACCAGCCUUCCACCCCACCACCUCCAGCCGACCUGUCACCAAACCAGCGCCGCCGCCAGUCCCUUCACCCUCACUUACGACAGCCAAGCCGCCCAACCCCUCUGCCGCCAGCGACCCCUCCUGGUUCUCUCAUCUCACCACCCGAAGACACACACAUACUAACAGAAACACAAACACGGACAUAAGGAAACAGAAAAUUUGGAGGAUUUUUUUAAAAAAGGGGAAGCAGCAAGAAAACAACAAAAAGUUGGUAGUUCUCUUCGUUCAAUUUUUGGAUAUUAAGAAUGGAGUUAGUUGAGGUUUGAAGUCGGUUCGUUCGCCGAUCAAGGUUCGGGACAGUGUUCUUAUUGCUAUUUUUAAUUCUGUUCGCGGCUUAUAGCUCCUGUUCCAUUGUUGUUGUUCGUCUCGAUUUUUUUUAUCGUCGAAGUUCGCUUGUAUUUGCUUUCAAACAGAAUUAAUCAAAACCUUCUUGCGCUUUCAGGUUUGUUCCUUUCCUUUACAUUUUAUUUUUUGUUGAUUUUCAGUGUGGUAUAAGCCGGGGCUUAAGAGAAUCUGGAGUUUUCAUGCUUCAAUCUAUUUUAAGGAGAAACUAAGGGAAUAUAGUGUGUGUUAAAAUAAUCGCUAUUAGGAUUUAAUUUUUGAAGCUUGAUAUGAGAUUUUUGAUAGGCAUCAUUAGAGUAUUCUAGUACUUUUCCCUUUCAUGUUAAUAUUUUAAAACAUAUUUGACGUACUCUGUUGAUUGAAAAAUGCACUCUCUCAAGGAUAAAAUCCUUAUAGAUUGGUCUUAAGGUUUUGGAAAGAUUACAAAAGUAUUGUCCUAGUCUUGGUAGUAAUAUCUUAUUAAUCUCCUUGGGGUCUAUGAUAGGUUAUGACGAUGAGAUCUUAAGCAGCUCUUUUCUAAUUUCAAUUCAUGCUAGAUUAAGCUAUUGCAUUACCAUGUUUUUCGUUAGGCUCCUUGAAUGUUUAUUGCAACAAGUUGUGUAGAGGUUGCCUUAUAUUUUAUAAACCGGAGAGCAGAUCUAGCUAGCCUUCGAUUAUUUUUAUAGGAAAUGGAGAUUGAGAUGCAUAUCAUGGGAAUGGAAAAAGACUUAGCUCGUUAGUGGUUAAUUUGUUCAUAUGCUUUAAGAUUGAGCUCGGUCUAAAUAAAAAUGAAAAGUUACACACAAAAAUGAGCAUGAAAUGAAUCGGUAUUUAUUUUAGUUUUAGUUUUAUUUUAUUUCUACCUUUGUUACAUUUAAUCGCUAGGAGUAUGUUUGGGCCGUCAUCACCCGGGUAGGCAAACUUUAGGAUUUUUGUUAGUUUUGAGGCGAGAGGUCGUUCCUUUAGUUAAAUUCAUCCGGGGAAUGCCUUGAAGGAUUUGUAUAUAUUUUAUUUCGGAGAAUGCCCCGUAGUAUUCUGUAAUUGGAGGCCAAAAGUAGAACUUGUAGUGUUUUAUUCUUGUUUUAUUUUUCUUUAUUAGGUGGGGACGACCUCGAGCCUCUUAUGUGUUAAUUUUUCCAUUUCUGUGUUUAUUACCUCAAUUCGAAUAUUUUAAAAGCCGACUAGCUCAAGUAUGCAACCGUACUAGUUACGGAAUUUGGGGAGUGCCUAAGACCUUCUCCCCGAGUCAAAUGAACAACCUUACCCGAAACUCUGGUGUAGACUUAGUUUUGGAGUCCAAAGUGUUUUUAAAAGGAAAAUCAUUUUAAAAAAAUGGUGACCUGGCACACCGAAACCAAUGUUAGGUGGCGACUCUGAGUCAUUUCUUUUUGAACACAAUUUUGUCACUUUUAAUUGAAAAUCCUUUUUGAGCUUACAAAUCCUUUUAUUUAUUUAAGAGGUUUAGUGAGGUGGUAAAAAGGGCGUGUGACACUCCUGCUACUACUGUAUGUUUGUGUUGCUUCUUUUGUCAAUAUGGUUGGCCUUGCAUGUCUGAUACUCUUUCAUUCUUCUCUAUUUAUAUGGCGAAGUGCAGAAUCAUGAUUCUUUCUUGAUUGAUCUUGAUUUCCUCAAGUUACGACUGAUUGCAAAGGUUUUCUUAUAAACCCCUAAUUCUACCUGUUUGUUUGAGUUGAUUGAUUCCUUUCCUUUAUUUGCUGUGAUGUUGUACCCCUGCUGAAUCCUUUCCCCAAUUAAGUAUAUUUUGUACUUAGACUCAAUUAUUUACUAUAUACUUUUAAUAUCCCCUAUAAGGUCAGAAAUUAAUCUUUCUAGAAUUGGUUUUCUUUCCUUAAUUAUUCCUGUUAGUAUCCGUUUGAGCAGUAAUUCCUUGACUAAAGGAAAGUACUUGUAUUAAUUGAUUUUGAUUGUGAUUAUUUCUAUGUUUGUUUUAAAACUUUACUUUUUACCUUAUUUUCUAUUCGUUUUCAAAGCUAUAAAUACCCUACCCUAUCUUAUCUAAAGACACGAACAACUGAGUUAGAAAAAAUACACUUACACAUUGAAACUCUCUUUCUUUCUCUACUACUUAUGCUAAUGCCUUGUCUAGCUGGCUGAAAGCCAAGGCUGGACUUUGGAACCCUGAUUACUUUUCUUUUCCUACACUUUGCUUCUUCAACCGGUAUGUCCCUAGUUUAAAUUCUAAAACUCAAACCUAUGUGUUCUUUUGUUGUCAAUCACUGUCUCUUUCUGCACUGACUUAAUGGCUCAUGUUGUUGCACUUUUGUUUACUGCUUUAAUCAGCAUGCUUAACUUUCUGCCCACUUUUGUUCAAAUGUAAUUAGCAUGUUUUCCUGUUUGUAUCCCUCAACUAGCAUGUCUUCUAAGGUACUUGAGUCAUGACUAAUUAUGUGUUUCUGUUUGGGUCUUCUAUGUCCCCAACCCCUACUCCCCUGUUUGUAACUGCUGCAGCAUAUACUCCUCUCUGAACUUGUUCUGUAUGUAUGUUGUGGCUCCUACCCCCCUUUUCCCUUUCAAAAAACUGUUUUGUUAGGCAAUUCUUCUGCUAUUUUUUUUACAAACUCACUUCAAACAUGUUGUUUUCAAAAACUAUUUUCAACUCCACUCCUUUGAGUCUGUAUCAAGCAUUCUCACAUGCACUCUUAGACUACUAGGUUCUUCCCUCUUGUGUGAGCCUUGCUUUGGGACCCUUUGAGCUCAUUCUGAACCUUGACACAUAAGGGCAGGCCUUUCCACACUGCACUUACUCUUGAUUAUGCAAUCUGGGUGUGAGCACUGCGUGAGACCCCUUGAGGUCCUUAGGGAACUCUGACACACCCAGAUAUGAGAAAAGGCUUUGGAACAAUAUUGGCUUUUGAGGUGGUUCAUUACAUAACUCAGAGAGGAAAUCAAGAUCAGGCUUCCUAUAGUUGUAACAUCUUAUUUUUGCAUUUUUUCUUAUGUAGUUCAGUACAGGGUAUGUAAUAAUUUGUAAACAAUAUUGGGGUGGUUAGUGGAAGUGACGGGGAAUAUGCAUGCUAUAUAGUAAGGAGUAGAAAACAUGUUAUUAGGUUUAUAUUCCUACUUGCGCAAUAGAAACCAUGCUUAUGACUCAUUUCAUGCAUUAGAGAUCAUGUUCCCUAGGACUUAUGCUUACUGUUUUCAGCAUGUGCAUUUCACUAUCCUAUCACUUAUAAAAUCUUGCGUUAAUUGUGUUAAUAACUGGAGUUUCUGCGAUCAUAUUCCUACUGCCAUGCACUUAAAGAUCCCGUUUUAGGCUAAACAACACUAACAAACAUGUCAUUUUUGCAUAUCCUGGAAAUCAUGUUUAAACACUGUAAUAUUUGUGUAUAUAGAAAUCCUGCUUAGGAUUCUGCAUCUUUGUGCAUUAGAUACCAUGUCUUUAAGAUUUCAUUUAUAUUCUCUUAAGCAUGCUUAGGCUAGCUAUGAAUGCAUAAAAGGAAUAAUACAAUUUUACUCAGUUUUUACAAGCAACUGACCAUAAUUCUAUGUGUUGAACACCUAGAACAACAUGUUUUAGGUAAUAUAAAUAAUCCCCAAACCGGCUUAUUAAUUCUGAAUAACUACUGAAUACUGCUUACGCCUAGGCAAACCUUAGGUAAUUGCUUAAAUAAAACUGGAAUUGCUUUUGUUUAAUUAUCAACUGCUACAACUAGCAGGCAGACCUGAUUUGGACUUCUUUUCUGAAUUAUAUAAUGAAUAUGGUUUUGACUAAACACCCUGCUUUAGGAUUUUAAAAUUCAGACCUUAACUGUGUAUAAGUCGUGCUGUCUAUAUGCAUUGUUUGCGGAGGUAUAACUGAGCCUUCUAUUUGCUUAUAUGUUUCCCCCUAAUUGCAGUUCUAUAUGUUUUGUAUGUCGCCUUAGAAUUUUACUUUUAAACCUACGGGUCAUCCUAGAACCUCCUUCUUAUAGGAAUAUGAGUCCUAAAUUCCUUCGGGACUGAUAGGAAUGGGACGGGUAACAACAUACAAUAGAGGGUUGAGACCAAUUAUCGCUCUAAUUAGCUUUAUGGGGUGGGAAAGGGUAGAUAUGGAUAUGAUGACCGGUGCGCUAAUGCCACAUGUAUCCCAUCUUUUGAGGAGUGUCAUACCGGGCAUUGCAUUGAUGUGAUCCAUAUUACAAACAAACCUAGGACACCCUUUUUAUUUUUAUAAGUACGCUUAGAUUGUAACUCUUUUUCAAAACCUCCCUUUCAAUAAUUGUUCUCAAACACUUGUGUAUCUAAACUUAAACCCCCUAUUACUUGAGCCUUACUUGUUUACUUGCUAAUUGCACAAAUUCACAAAAACUGUCUGGUCGGGAACCACACUAGUGGAUCAUGAGGGGUGCCUAAUACCUUCCCCUUAGGAUAAUUACAAGCCCUUAUCCUAUCUCUACUUAUCAAACGUAGUUGUAGAUAAACCCUGUAGGUGCCCUAACGCACCUUAAAAAUUGUUAGGUGGCGACUCUUCAAAUACCCAAAUCCCAAAAGGAAAUGAGUCACUACACCCCAUGAAUGUCGAAACCCGAAUUCCUCUCCGCAUGGGGGGAAAAAGGGGGCAUGACAACAUGGUGACUCUGUUGGGGAUAUUUAGGCUUUUACCAUUUCAGAUUGUUCUUGUGAAUUUGUACCCCUCCCUUAUAUGCAAUUACUUGUUUAAUUCCUUUAAGCGUUUAAUUUUCAAAAGCGUACUGACAUAUCCUCUUUGUUUUCUUCCUUUAUUGCUGCUUUAAAUGAUGAAACUGCUGUAUUUAUCGCUUUCUUAAUGUGCAUAUACAUGCCAACAUACUUUUAAUUAUUGCAUAAUCAUGCUCAUCAUCAUACUCCACUCGUGCCAAACAAAUACUAUAGCAACGCUUUAAUGAGUGGUUGCGCUCUUCCUAUAUCAUUACCCCUUAAAUUCGGAAAGGCAUAUUUGCGUUAAAACUAGUCGAUCAGUGGUGCAGUCGACAGUUCUGUGCCUUCCUCCUUGAGUUGUUCGCUCAAGGGUACCAGUCUAAAAUCCCAUACAAACCUUACUCUGUUUAAAUUGUGCAUGCAUCAUGGUCAAACCUAGUCAGAUCAGUUCUGUCAUCCACAUAAUGAUACUUUAAGAUAGCCUUGUCCAAAAGUCUACUGGGUCUCCCUAAACCCAAACGGAUAUUAUCACGUUCUGUGCAUUUAUUUGGAGAACUAAAUGUCGAUGUGCUGAUCAUAAAUGUACAAAUAGUCGAGUCCGGUGGGGGUAGGGUCUAACCCUUUUGUUUUGCAGAAAAUGAGGUGAGAGGUCCCUAGUUUCAUUAUGGUUAGCACAUCCCCACUCUUGCUAGUCUGGUGGAGGAGUCUUCCAUCGAGUGACCAAAUCAAUGAGUGGAAAGAUAGGGCCGCCAAAGCUAGAAAAAAAUUUGGAAUAUCUGGAAUACAGUCUGCUGGAAUUGGAAGGAAAAGUGAGGAAGAGAGUUAGCGACUGCCAGAACACUAAGGGAAACGAAGGAGAACACCUAGCAAAGGCAUUUUUACUGGUAAACCUAUGCGAACUGGAGGAUUUGAUCAACGAGAGCAUUCAACAUGAGGAAGGUCCUUCUGAGGCCAAAUAGAUUAGGUUUACUAGCUUUCCAAAUGUAAUAAGGUCAAGUGCUAGUAAUGACUUAUUAUUAUCUUAGUAUCGUUUUGGGAUUUUUCUAUUUUUAUAUUAUGAAAUGAAGCAUUUAUUGGCAUUCGAAGUUCUCCAAAGAGGUUCCCAAAUUAGGACACGCUCUACAUUCCCGCACUAUAUGUUUAAAUAUUGCAAUACUUUUUAUAAUCCUCACUAACUUGAUUACCUUUUGUUUUUAUUUUUGUUUUUAUUAUUCCCCUUCCCAAAGGUUAGUUCAUGCACUCUGGCAUCAUCAUCUUACUCCACGAGAUCUAGGGUCCCUCCACCCACUCCUCCUCUUAGUCCUAUUAAAAGCAAUAACAAAGGCAAGAUGGAAGAUUUGAACAACGUUAGGAAGGAGAACCCAACUAAACGGGUUGAGGCCACUGAUGGCCAUGGUAUUCGGGUUCCUAAUGAGAAUGUGUCAUAACUUGAACAGAAGCUGC